GUUCGGUUGAUGGAAGGGACAAAUCGUAGCUUAAAAGUAGAAAAAAAAAACUAUAAGAUAAAGACGCAAAUAUAAAAUUGCCAGUAAAAUAUUGUAGAGGUACUUCGAUGAGUCAUCAUCGCUCAAUCGAAUCAUUAUGGUCUGCUGGUAGCUUUGAGAGUCUAUGCCAGCAUUACCGCACUAGUAGGUGAGCUCAUGGGGCUCUAACUGGGAGCGUUGCUAACACUAGCCCUAGCAAGAGCAGUGCUUCGCCAGAAUCUACCAUCGGAUCGAAAAUGCGACCCACCGAGAAGAUCCGGCGAGAAAUCUAGUGGGCUGUCUCAAUAGGUUAGCUUACUCGCCGAACCCUUCAUUGCAAGAUACAGGUUCGACAAGAACGGUGAGCGGUGCUUGGAGUAAUGUGUAAUGUUUUAAGUUACUAACAUAGAUUAUAAGUGAUACUAACAAAAUGUAUGGCUUUUUGCUGAAAUAAACAUUUCUUAUUAUUGUUAUAGGGAAUUGUUGUGAGAACAAUCAAAGUCA